AUCUCGGGGAACUCAUUUCUCGUACGCGUCUGCUCCCACCGCCCCCUUCCCCCAACUCAUUCACCACGGCAGGGAUCCCCACUUUCUUGGGCGACGGCGAAGGAAAGGGGGGGGGGCACACAAGUUCAUCAAUUCGUGCGUCGUGCUAGAUGACGAUGAUGCCUUGGAAACAACCGAAUUCUCAUUCACAGCCUUGCUAGAGUGAGCGGUAUUGAGGUUUUGAGUGGGGUGGGUGGGUGGGGUGGGAUAGCAAGAUCGUUGUACUCUUCCAGGGAAAUCGGACACGCGGCCGCCAGGAAGCGUCUGGGAGCAUGUGAUGGAAUGCAUCGAUGCUUUCGCUUCGUCCCUCCCUCCUCUGCCGUGCUUUGCUGAAGAGGCCUACCUGAGGGUGUCGCGUGCACUCUCCCUCUUCUCUUCACUUUUCCUUUUUGAGAGAUCAUCGGUAGUCACGAGCGCACAUGUCGGAGGGUCGACGUGCGGGGCCUCGCUGGCGCGAUGCCGUUGCUACACACCGCGCCCACGUUCCGAAAGCCUCUGCGGCGCUUCAGGCGGAGAGCGAUUAUAGUUUCGAUGAAGAAGACGGUGAACAUGGCGACGAUGGUGGAAGGUUGGCCAUGAAAGCAGGGAAAGCCUUUAGGCUCUCCUCGUCCAGCUACGCCGAAGAGUCGUGUGACUCGUCGCUGAAACGUCGAAGUGUAAACGCGCCAGCGACGAGCAGGCCACCAGCCUCGGCCGCAUUGGCGACUGCAACCUCUGCGUCUUCCUUGACGGCGCGGUCUCACUCACCUGCGGUGUGGGUGUUUACAGAGGAUCAAGAUGAUGCCGACGCUUACCGGAGUCGCAUGGAUGAAGGUUGCGGGAGCACAGACAUUCGCAGUGACAGCCUUGGCAGCAACCCAAGCCAUUCGCAACGAGUGGUGCUGCAGCGGCGAUGGACACUAGAGGACGAUACCUUGGAAGACAUGGGUAUCGUUCAGACCUCAUCGCCACGUGUGCUGGACAACCGCCUCCGCCUCUUCUCGCCUUCUGCAGCGGCGGUUGGGAGCAGCAAGAGCGGGGGCCCAGUGAGCGCGUAUCGCGCACCGCUCGUCACCGCCCUACCUCCCGACGAAGCAAGCUACACCCGGUCGCAGACGUCUUUGGCAGACGGUCGCAAGGAGGAGGCCGACGACAACGCACCUUCAGGUGCCAGGUCAUUCGUCGUCAACGCCAAGAUGGAAGCAGCGUCGCGGCCGUCGUCGCGGCCGCGCUCCACCAACCACAGCGGCGAUGCCGCACAUACUCGCCUCCCCACCACGAGCUCGCACCACAAAAAGCGAGAAAAGAAGGCGCCGACGUCAUGCUCUCCGAGGGGGCGCACUGCACGCUCGCCACCGUCGCGCACCGCGUCUCCGAGAUCCUCUGUAUCCUCUCCGCCGUCGUCGUCGUCUUCAGCCUCCAGCUCGUGUGCUGUUCCAGGCUCCCCACCACCGCCGCACCGCUCUGUCAAGAUGCUGCACAUGAAGGAGGGUGGCCAUACCUCUUCGCCGCCGGGCAGCACUGAUUACCUCGACGGGCCGCUUUUUGCAGGGCUCGGCCCAUUGAUGGUGGUACACGUGGACGUUCUUCCGGACGUUGCUGGAGCUCAACCAAUUCCGUCGCGGGAAGGCGUUGCUGGAGAAGAGGCGGCUUCCGUAGCAGCCGCGGCAUCGUCUUCCCCGUCGCUAUCACGCCCGCAUCCGGUGCACCUAGAUCCGUACUGGGGGGCUGUCGUGGAGCGACAGGAGAUGGACACGCACGAGCGUGAGGUGGCGGCGCUGCACGCGAGGUUGGAGACCGCCGAUCAGCAGGUGCGUAUCACGGAGCAGCAGGCCGUGGCGGCAGCGGAGGCACGGGCGGCGGAGUUGGUACAGAGGUACAAGGCCGACGAGCGAAAGCGUCGAGCGCAGUUCCAGGCCGCGUUGGAUACCCUGCGAGAGGAGAACCGGGAACUGACCGCCAAGUUGGAGGCUGUUGCACGGGCGCCGGCGAUGGGAGUUCUGAGUGCAACUACUUGCCCACUGCGGACGUCGAGCGGUGACGCGGCAACGGAAGCGAGGGGGAACUCGAUUGCCACCACAUCGGGUCCGCUCAUGGCAAGUGCAGCCGCAGUGAGUCAGGCGGAGAUGACUCGGCAGCUGCAGUCGAUUGAGGGAUAUUGGCGUGAUCGACUGCGCACGGCGGAGCGACACUGGGAGGACGAGAUGUCGCGGCAGACGCAGCAGCGACGCGAGGCUCUGGACCAAGUGGAGGAGCUGGUGCGCACGGUCGAGCAGUUGCAAGAGGAGCUGCGCUACACCCGGCGCCAGGCGGCCCGUCUUCGAGAGGAGAACAUACGUCUCUGCGGUGCUGCCCAAGCCGCGUCGACUGGUAUCGUUGCCAGCCUUGCCGUCCCCGUUGCGCCAGCCACCACGUCGCCGCCCGAAGAGGUGUCGCGCCUGCGCAAGGCGCUGAGAGAGCAUCAGCACAAGGAGGCUGCUCUGCUUGCGCAGGUGGAGAGCUACGGCGAGGAGGCCACCCGUGUGCGACUGCGGUACGAAGCGGCGCUCCAGAAGGCAGAGCGGGAGCUCGCAGCGGAGCGGCGGCGGAGCACGGAGAUGGUGAAGCUGUACGGCAGUCAGCUGGAGUCGCUGCACCACCAGCUGCGUGAGGGCAAGCCGCGGAGCGCAGCUCGGUGAGGGAGCUGUCACUUAGCGUUGAGUGCUCCGGGGAGGAAGGGUGUCGUCACUUCUUUCUGCCUCCUCCAGCGUUUCUCUACACUGCACCAUUACGUGUGAUGUACCUCUGUGUUUUGUUUAUAUCUUUCGUAGCUUGCUGCUCCCACUCUCCCUCCGCCCUUCGACACUACCGCGGCCGCAGCGCUCUCUGUUUUUUUUUUUUCGUUGCCUUACUUGCUCUACCGGCCACCAUGGCGAAGGCGCGCGCUUACCUGCAUGCGCGUGAGCGUGGAUGUGCGUGUGCUCAGGAAUGGAGGAGAAGCCGAGCUGAACGGUUAGUGCAGUGUAGUGCAGUUGCAGGAAGGCGGCGGUGUGCGGAGGCAGAAGCAAAAAAAAAGCGGAGCGGCGGACCAGCGCGUAUUCGAGCGUAAGAAAGAAAGACACGUGGCCAGCUGCUUACUGUCGAGGUCCCAUGCGAGCCAUCAGCCCCUUUCCCCUCCCCCUCAUUGACUCGGACGCAUCCGCGUAGAAUAGACGAAGAAGCAAAGAAGAGGGAGCCUCCCCCAUACAGGAGCAACCAAACGAUAGCCACGGCAACUAGGUGCAGGCGGCUGCCGUGGCGUGAGCAUGCGGGCCUUCUCCUUUAGUAGAUGGCCACUGAUUAAGUCGGUGCUGCAGAAAGUAGGCUUGACACUGAAGACAGAGAAACUUGAUGCGCGCCACCGGAUAUCUGCCUUCCCGGUUUCAAGUCCCUGGAGCGACGAGUGACCGCACCUCACAGAUAGUAUGAUCGCAGGUCGACGCUCCAACGGACCGUGACUGUCAUGUUCUGCAUACCGUCGCACCACACCUGCUUUUGGCGACAAGGGCACUCGGCUCUGUUGCUUCUUGACUCGAUUCUCGUAGUUCGUUUCCUUCUCCACACACCGGCUACUCUCCUUCUUCCUCUUUCUGCCUUGUCGUGUGAUCCUCUCUCUCUCUCUCUGUGAACGCAUGCCCGGUGUGUUUCGAUGGUGCUGAGUACGCACACCAACACACAAUCGCGCUCCCUCAUACCCCCGCCCAUCCACACGUGUGACCGUAG
rnacentral:misc_RNA from 1 species